rnacentral:rRNA from 1 species
AUUGAACGCUGGCGGAAUGCUUUACACAUGCAAGUCGAACGGUAGAGGGGGCAACCCUUGAGAGUGGCGAACGGGUGAGUAAUAUAUCGGAACGUGCCCAGUCGUGGGGGAUAACGUAGCGAAAGUUACGCUAAUACCGCAUACGAUCUACGGAUGAAAGCGGGGGACUCGCAAGAGCUCGCGCGAUUGGAGCGGCCGAUAUCAGAUUAGGUAGUUGGUGGGGUAAAGGCUCACCAAGCCAACGAUCUGUAGCUGGUCUGAGAGGACGACCAGCCACACUGGAACUGAGACACGGUCCAGACUCCUACGGGAGGCAGCAGUGGGGAAUUUUGGACAAUGGACGCAAGUCUGAUCCAGCCAUUCCGCGUGCAGGAUGAAGGCCCUCGGGUUGUAAACUGCUUUUGUACGGAACGAAAAGGUUUCUAUUAAUACUAGGAGCUCAUGACGGUACCGUAAGAAUAAGCACCGGCUAACUACGUG